GAGUUUGAUCUUGGCUCAGGAUGAACGCUAGCGGCAGGCCUAAUACAUGCAAGUCGAGGGGCAGCGCGGGUAGCAAUACCUGGCGGCGACCGGCGCACGGGUGCGUAACACGUAUACAAUCUGCCUUUAACAGGGGGAUAGCCCGGAGAAAUCCGGAUUAAUACCCCAUAAUAUAUUGAGUGGCAUCACUUGAUAUUGAAAGCUCCGGCGGUUAGAGAUGAGUAUGCGCCUGAUUAGUUAGUUGGUGAGGUAACGGCUCACCAAGACUUCGAUCAGUAGGGGAUCUGAGAGGACUACCCCCCACACGGAUACUGAGACACGGAUCCGACUCCUACGGGAGGCAGCAGUAAGGAAUACUGGACAAUGCCCGCAAGGUGAUCCAGCCAUGCCGCGUGCAGGAAGACGGCCCUAUGGGUUGUAAACUGCUUUUACUACCGGAGAAAAACCCCUCGUACGUGUACGGGGCUGAUAGUAUGGUGAGAAUAAGCAUCGGCUAACUUCGUGCCAGCC
rnacentral:rRNA from 1 species